GCUUUGCCUUUGCUUUUUCUUUAAGGAGAAAAGUUGAUGGGUUUUACCAUAACUGAGGUGCUGUUUUAUUUGACAGGCAACCACAGAUUUUGGUUUCAAACAAGGCUGAUUUAAUUUGUGACAAAUGCAAUGUGUGAAAGAAUGAAGCACUCCCAGGAAACUGCUGGCAUUCAACUCAGCUACAGUUUCAUAUGUAACAGAGAAACAGAGAUGACAAACUACUGGCCUGGAGUACAAAAUCCUUCAAGAGCACAAUGAAUUGGUGUUGAGUUCUGGCUUCAGUUCAGAGAUCAGAAACCAGAUGAAAGGUAGAUCAUAAAUUAUUUAAAGUUUCUUCAUCUACAGAAUGCCCAGAUGAAUGCACUGAGAUAUUCAGAGAUAGGAACCUAAAAAGAUUAUAAUGACUCAAUGAUUCUUGCCAACAAAUGAAAUAAAAA
rnacentral:lncRNA from 1 species